rnacentral:rRNA from 1 species
AGUGAACGCUGGCGGUGGGCCUAACACAUGCAAGUCGAACGGCAGCACAGUAAGAGCUUGCUCUUACGGGUGGCGAGUGGCGGACGGGUGAGGAAUACAUCGGCAUCUACUUUUUCGUGGGGGAUAACGUAGGGAAACUUACGCUAAUACCGCAUACGACCUACGGGUUAAAGCAGGGGAUCUUCGGACCUUGCGCGAUUGAAUGAGCCGAUGUCGGAUUAGCUAGUUGGCGGGGUAAAGGCCCACCAAGGCGACGAUCCGUAGCUGGUCUGAGAGGAUGAUCAGCCACACUGGAACUGAGACACGGUCCAGACUCCUACGGGAGGCAGCAGUGGGGAAUAUUGGACAAUGGGCGCAAGCCUGAUCCAGCCAUACCGCGUGGGUGAAGAAGGCCUUCGGGUUGUAAAGCCCUUUUGUUGGGAAAGAAAAGCAGCGGGUUAAUACCCCGCUGUUCUGACGGUACCCAAAGAAUAAGCACCGGCUAACUUCGUG